rnacentral:tmRNA from 1 species
GGGGAUGUUUUUGGAUUCGACAGGCACAUUUGCGGCAUAGACUGCAGGCCGAAGGCGCUCGUUACGCGCAUGCUUUAAAUUAAGCGGAAACAAAAAUUUAAACUUAGCUGCUGCCUAAGGGCACAGCACUCUAGCUUAGUAUUGUCCAUGUAUUAAGUCAAGGGUUCAUUUUUAAAGUGGAAUACGAUUGAUGACUGUGGCCCGUGGUUGUUAAUAAGAGAUUUAAGGGCUCGCAUGUCCCGUCUUUGUCAGCUGGGGUUCGGUGCAUGUUAAAUCUUGACAACUGACUAAGCUUGUAGACGUUUAUGUGACGGUGUGUUUGGACAGGGGUUCGAUUCCCCUCAUCUCCACCA